CAUGUUGGGGACUUAUUUGGUGCCACAUUUUUGGGGCCACAUUGCUGGGGACUUAUUUGGUGCCCCCCAAUUGUCGCCUCCCCUCUUGGUAUCACCUGUUGGUGACUUAUUUGCUGCCCCCCUGUUGGUGCCACCCUGCUGGUGACACAUUUGGUGCCCCCCUAUUCGUAUCACCCUGUUGGUGACACAUUUGGUGCCCCCUUAUUGGUGUCACAUUCUUGGUGACUUAUUUGAUGCCCCUCUGUUGGUGCCACAUUGCUGGGGACUUAUUUGGUGCCACCCUCCUGGUAUCACUGUGUUGGUGACUUAUUUGGUGCCACAUUUUUGGGGCCACAUUGCUGGGGACAUAUUUGGUGCCCCUCUUUUGGUAUCACCCCGUUGGUGACAUAUUUGCUGCCCCCCCCGCCCCCGUUGGUGCCUCAUUGCUGGGGACUUAUUUGGCGCCCCUCUGUUGGUGCCACAUUCCUGGUGACAUUCCUGGUGACAUUCCUGGUGACAUUCCUGGUGCCAUUCCUGGUGCCUGCCAUUUCCGGCGCCAUUUCCGGCGCCAUUUCCGGUGCCGUUCCUGGGUGUCGCUCCCAGCUGUGCCAUCAGAGCCCAAUGGGGCUGAAUGGGGGCCCCCUAUGGGACCGGGUUUUUUUUUUGGGGGGGGUGGGGGACCCCUUG
rnacentral:lncRNA from 1 species